UACGGUGAAUACGUUCCCGGACCUUGCACACACCGCCCGUCAAGCCAUGGGAGCCGGGUGUACCUAAAGUCGGUAACCGUAAGGAGCCGCCUAGGGUAAACUGGUGACUGGGGCU
rnacentral:rRNA from 1 species